rnacentral:rRNA from 1 species
AGUCACUGACAUUAGAUACCCGGUAGUCCCAGCCGUAAACAAUGUGCGUUAGGUGUGUCGGUAACCACGCGUUACUGAUGCGCCGAAGAGAAAUCGUGAAACGCACCACCUGGGAAGUACGGUCGCAAGGCUGAAACUUAAAGGAAUUGGCGGGGGAGCACCACAACAGGUGGAGCCUGCGGUUUAAUUGGAUUCAACGCCGGACAUCUCACCGGAUAAGACAGCUGAAUGAUUGUCAAUCUGAAGGUUUUACAUGACUAGCUG